rnacentral:lncRNA from 12 species
AUGUCUCGGUCAUCAGACCAAACGGCAGCCAGUCGUGGGCUGGCCAACAACCUGGUCCUUGGACAUGAAGGAGCACAGCAUUUGACAGAGGUCAUCUGGCCACAGUUCUCCAACAUGGAAGGACGUGACGUGUUAUUCAUUUUUGAUUUCCAGAGCAUCUCAGAAUUCAGAAAGGUCACAUCUUUGAUCAGUACAAGGACACUCUAAAUGACAAUAUGAAGGCACUCAGUGGGAUUUUUAAAAAUGCUAAUUGCAUAGAAUGAAGGAAUAUUCAUGGAAGCCUUCAAAAAUAUUAAAAGUUAUAUAUAUAUAUAUAUAUAUAAAGAUUUCAUUUAUUCGUGAGAGAGGGAGGCAGAGGGAGAGGCAGGCUCCCCUCUGAGCAGGGAGCAGGAUGCUGGGCUCCAUUCCAGGUCACCACCUGAGCCGAAGGCAAAUGCUUAACUGACUGAACCACCCAGGCACCUAUACAUAAAUACAUUAUUAACCACAUUUUUACAUAUGUAUGAUUUGCAAUCGUAAUGUUUAUUGUGUUUGACUUGCAAUGGAUUUUACCUCUUGCAAGAGAUUCUUUGACUCUGGCCAAGGCACCACUAUGGCCAAAGAUGCCAAAUGACAUUUUUGAGUCUGUGUUAAAUAUGUGAAGUUCCCCCAAACACUGAGAGGUCUAAAAUGUUUCCUAAAGAGGCCGCAGGUCCGUCAGUGUGAUAAGGUGGGGAGACACUCCCAUUCCUUGCGAGCUCGAGCUCGGAGUAGGGAACCAGCAGGCACGGAGGGAGCCUCAUUGAAACGGCUGGGGUGCCUGGCUGGGGUGCCUCCGCUGUGGCCCUGGAAGAGUUCAGCGGCGCCAA